GACGAACCGUGCGAACGUUGUUCGGAAUCACUGGGCUUAAAGGGCGCGUAGGCGGGCUCGCAAGUCAGGGGUGAAAGCCCGCGGCUCAACCGCGGAAGCGCCUUUGAUACUGCGGGCCUCGAGGGGGGUAGGGGCGUGCGGAACUUCCGGUGGAGCGGUGAAAUGCGUAGAUAUCUGGAGGAACACCGGUGGCGAAGGCGGCAUCCUGGACCAAUAUUGACGCUGAGGAGCGAAAGCCAGGGGAGCAAACGGG
rnacentral:rRNA from 1 species